UUUACUUCCAGGAUGGCUGGGUGGUCAGAGAUCUUCACUGAACUGACAGGUACCCCUCUGUUCUUUCCUAUUGUGCCCUGAAGUCAGACAUGCAUAUAGUGAUUUCAGUGCAUCACAUCCUUCAGUUCAUUGUGGGCCUGAAAACCUAACACAAAAGGCCAGGAAAAGGUGAUAAUGCACUUUCAGAGGCUGUAAAAGAAAUGUACAGGACUUGAACAAAGAUAGCACAGAGCCCAUAUAAGAGAGUCAGAAUGAGAACAGAGUCAGCUGGUCAAAUGCAGAAUAAAUUGGAAUCUGUGGUCUCCUUGUGGUUGUGAAGAAGCUGGUGAAUGGAACAUGCCAGAAAGGCGCUCCACGGGCAGACUGCAUGCAUGCUGCUGGUUUGUGAAUAUGGAAGGAGCAAUGCCAGUUAUUCCCCAGUGCCAGAACAACUUUGCCUAGGAAAUGAGUGAGGUGAAAACUCUCUGAUGAAGCUGCACUUCCUUCAUCCCUGUGCCAUGAAACUCAGGGAGUGCUGGUGACUGCCCUUUUUGCGUUAUAUAAUGAAAACGUAAGUAUUGCUGUUGUUGUCUGCAACAAAAACGUUUAUGAAGUUUUGCUAUAGCACAUUUCUAUUUUUGCUUUCAAUGUUGGUUUUUUUUCUGUGAAAGCUUCUUGAUUGAACCUUCUUCUCUAAUAAUUUUUUACACAUGAAUUACAGAUCAUUCUAAUUAGCUUUUUAAUUACAGCUAGAGAAAGCUAUUUAGAACACUCCUGACUGUUAGAAACGAGUCCAUGUGGAGAAAAAUAAGAGGUAAUUAGCUUUAAAUGAAAAAUAGCUACUGUCAUUUCCCAGACAAAGGAGAGGGAGACAAUUUCUACGCUUCAUAGCAAAUACAGAAUUGGAUUGGAAAGGACUGUUCAGAGUCCAUGCCUUGAAAUCAUCUGAAAUUUAACUAGUUUUACACCAGGUAUUUACUAUGAUGAUUUUGAAGGCAUUGGUAUUCUAACUGUCUAAAUUCUUAGCAAGUCCAUUGCAACAUCUGGAUAAAGAGCAUCCCAGCUGUGUUAAAUGGAGAUGCUUUUUGUAAGAGUUGGGGACACUGCACUGUGCUAUAACCCAUGGAAUAGUAACAAAUUUUAGGAAUCUUCAAGUCAUCUCAGACCAAGAGCUCUUGCUAUGAAUUUGGUUCUUCUUGCAGAUUGU
rnacentral:lncRNA from 1 species